GCCUGGGGAGUACGGCCGCAAGGUUAAAACUCAAAUGAAUUGACGGGGGCCCGCACAAGCGGUGGAGCAUGUGGUUUAAUUCGAUGCAACGCGAAGAACCUUACCUGGUCUUGACAUCCACGGAAGUUUUCAGAGAUGAGAAUGUGCCUUCGGGAACCGUGAGACAGGUGCUGCAUGGCUGUCGUCAGCUCGUGUUGUGAAAUGUUGGGUUAAGUCCCGCAACGAGCGCAACCCUUAUCCUUUGUUGCCAGCGGUCCGGCCGGGAACUCAAAGGAGACUGCCAGUGAUAAACUGGAGGAAGGUGGGGAUGACGUCAAGUCAUCAUGGCCCUUACGACCAGGGCUACACACGUGCUACAAUGGCGCAUACAAAGAGAAGCGACCUCGCGAGAGCAAGCGGACCUCAUAAAGUGCGUCGUAGUCCGGAUUGGAGUCUGCAACUCGACUCCAUGAAGUCGGAAUCGCUAGUAAUCGUGGAUCAGAAUGCCACGGUGAAUACGUUCCCGGGCCUUGUACACACCGCCCGUCACACCAUGGGAGUGGGUUGCAAAAGAAGUAGGUAGCUUAACCUUCGGGAGGGCGCUUACCACUUUGUGAUUCAUGACUGGGGUGAAGUCGUAACAAGGUAACCGUAGGGGAACCUGCGGUUGGAUCACCUCCUUA
rnacentral:rRNA from 1 species